rnacentral:rRNA from 1 species
CCUACGGGAGGCAGCAGUGGGGAAUAUUGGGCAAUGGAGGCAACUCUGACCCAGCAACGCCGCGUGAAUGAUGAAGGUCUUCGGAUUGUACAGUUCUUUGAUGGGGGAUGAACACAAUGACGGUACCCCAAUAGCAAGCCACGGCUAACUACGUGCCAGCAGCCGCGGUAAUACGUAGGUGGCAAGCGUUAUCCGGAAUGACUGGGCGUAAAGGGUGCGUAGGUGGUUUAGUAAGUUGGCGGUGUAAUUCCGGGGCUCAACCUCGGCGUUACCUCCAAAACUAUUAGACUAGAGGGCAGGAGGGGUAAGUGGAAGUCCUAGUGGAGCGGUGAAAUGCGUAGAUAUUAGGAAGAACAUCAGGGGCGAAGGCGACUUACUGGACUGUAACUGACACUGAGGCACGAAAGCGUGGGGAGCAAACAGGAUUAGAUACCCCUGUAGUC